rnacentral:snRNA from 1 species
UUUUAAUAGCAGUGGCAGUAUCGUAGCCAAUGAGGUUAAUCCGAGGCGUGAUUAUUGCUAAUUGAAAUUUUUUUCCAGUCAAUACAAAUAUGGAGGUUUAUUGCAUAUUAAG